ensembl:lncRNA
AGUUUCAAAAGUGACGUGGCAUUCUUGGUUUGUUCUCUUGUUAUUUUACUAAAAAGACAAUGAGGAUAUCAAAGAACGACUUGAGGAGUCGACCUGAAGGCCUCUCCAUACUCGAGAAUGAUUUCAUGCGACGUGGACCAGGAUCAGUCAUGUCGAAUACUAUGCACAUGACCUGACCUGUAUACUGCUGCCUUUAUUGAACUUGAAACCUCAUCACCUGGACUGGAUCCAGCUACAAAAAACUCAGAGGUGGAAUUCUGUGUGUUUGUUAUGGAUCUGUUGUUUUCAGGUUUUGAGUUGGUCUUCAUCAUCAUUGCUUUCACUAUUAUGUGCUUAUUUGGCCUGGCUGCUGUCUACACACACAAUAGAGAUCAUCAAGAUGACUUAAUUCAGACAGAAGAGAAGAUAAUGCAACAAAAGAGUAACUCAAAGAAAAAACAGCGAGGUGUCCCCAAAACCAACCAAGAGCUACCAUGAACACACGAACAAACAGAUUUCAUAUAAAUACAGAAUCCUUCUGUUGGUGCUCAUUGAAUUAAAAGGCAUGGCGCACCAAAUGCAGCUAAUCAGUGUGUGAAGGUCUCUGACACUGAAAAUGGACUUGCUGUCGAGCUCAUCUUUUAGUUGACCCUGAAGACCAGCUGUCUCCGAUUGGCUUGAAUGCAUGGCCCCAAUUAUUAACCAGUGAAGAAAGGCAAAGAGGAUUUAUUGAAAUUUAAACCCCUCCCCUUUCCCCACAUAAAUCUACUUAUCAUUUGUUAUUAUAAUGAUUUAAAGCCUGUAGCAUUUUUUCACACAGCUUAUGCUUUGGUGGAUAAACUGCUUCUAAAGUUUCUGGGUGGUGGUGGCCUUUGAUAAUAAAAAUAGGAAAAUAUAUUGCUGAAUGUAUAUUGUGCAAAUAUUUUAUAAAUACAGUAUAUUUAUAGUGAUGUUGUACUAUUUAUAUAAUGCAUUUCGUUUGUAUUUUAUUUAUUUUUCCACAAGUAUUUUUGGCAUUUUUUUAUAUUACAAAAUAGGAAUAUUGUCCAGUAUAUAUAUAUAUAUAUAUAUAUAUAUAUAUAUGAAUACAUUUUCUGCCAUAAUCUGUCCCUUUUGCUGUGCCCUAACACAAGGCAGUUAACACCAUUGUGCUGCAGGACAACUACCAUGUAAUUAAUCUUCUGUAACUCACUUUGCACAAAAAGAUCUGCUAAAUAAUUGCUAACUUUGGAUUAUGGCAUUAAGAUACACUCAUCUGGAUCUGGAUAAGAUUUUACAUUGUUUCAAAUUGUGUAUGGAAUGUGAGGUUACAUAGUGUCCUGUUUCAAGACCAUGUGCCCUGAAUGUUUAAGUGCUACUCAGCUGCAAGUCAGUUUCAAGUUUAACAGUUAGAAAGGGAAAAUAAAUCACAAGAUAUCAUUGUUCACUUACAUGAUUCACAUAUUUAAACUAUACUGUGUUAAGCUCCGUGCAUCUUCACUGAUAAAAUCUACAUUAUACAGAAAAGUAAGACUUCCAAUGUCAUUCCUGUUGUAAAUAUGAUAACAGAACAUGGGGCGCCCUCUAAUGGUGAUUAGCAAAAAAAAAAAAAAAAAAAAAAAACACCAAAUCGCCAAUCAUGCACACUAAUUCUCAAUAACUUUCUUACAAAUUCAUUCUCUCCUUACUUUUCCUCAACAGUGAUAUUCCUUCAUGCAGAGUAAUACGGGCAUGUACAUAAGAUUCAGUUACCAAUCUGAGAUAAAACUAAAGUGAAUUACAACCGAGAGAAGCAUCUUUUGUUGUUGUUGUCUGUUUUUGCAAUGUAUUUUAAAACAGAGGACUCUAUAGAUGUCUGCAUAUAUGCAGUAUAGCUGUAUAUGUAUAGAGGAAUCUACAUGGCUGGAAGUUGGAGGAAGGGGAGCAUGAUGGGGGAGUAGUUUGGGUAUGUGCUUCCUGGCAGUAACUUCUUGGAGUUGUAAACUGGAAGGGUGGUAUUGUCUCAGUGUUUGUGUGUGUGUGUGUGUUUGUGUUGAAAAGGGAGGGUAGUGAUCUAGUUGUGGAGGAAGAAAGGUUAUAGGGAAUGCCAUUCUUAUCUGCUAUUGCAACAGUCAACAAAGCUACACACUGAUAACACUUCCUGUUACACUGAACCAAUUUUAUAUAUAUGCACUUGGCAGCAACAAUCACACUCUCAUUUUGAACUCAACACUGGGCUUAAAAACAUAUGGCAAAAAAUACAAAAAAAAUAAAAAAAUAUUCAGGUAAAGAAUCUGGACUACUUUUUAAAUAUUUUGAGUAAUCUACUAAUAUAAUACAAUUAAAAACAGAAUUAGACACAUUCACACCACACAAAAAUCAUUAUUACUAAUGACUAAUUAUAACUAAUUAUUGUAGUGUGUGUGCGCGUGUGUGCAUGUGUGUUUCCACUUUCAGGAGACAAGUACCGCAACUCCUUUUUAGCCCUUUUAGCAAUUUUCAGUUUUGUAAUAAAACUUGUAUCUUGACAGAAUGUUUUUUCUUUUAAAAUAAAUGAAAUAAAAUAUAUUUUUUGUGGGAGGCUGUCUAUAUCUACUGAUUGACACAUCAUGUGCUCUUACUCCUAAAAGAUGGACUCGACCUCUGGCUGCUGGGAUGAGGAGGUUUUAAGGUCAGUGUGUGUCUGCCUCUGUGUGUGUGUGUGUGUGUGUGUGUGUAAAGAUCAAGCAGCAUAAGCUCCAUUUUCAGAAUCCCUUCUGUGUUCCACAGAGAGAUUUUUACAAAUUUACAUGCAGCAUACCUUUGUAUAGGCCACUUGCUGGUUUGGCUUUGAAAUGUAUAAUUUGUAUAAUUCUUUUCUGCAGUACAAAUCAGUGUCAUAUGUACCUAAAUAACAAUUUUCAAAAUUACAACUUAAGGCAUCUAAAUUUCUUCCUCAAAUCGUGUAUGCCAGUAAAGUGGAUGGAGUCAGUAACACUCGUCUCUUAACACAGGGAUUAUUUGAGCAGGCAGCUUAAUCCAAGUAAUGACAUCUAAUCCCUAAUAAAGCAAACAUUACAACACAGAGACACAGACAUACACCCACCCAGAC